GAAAUUGUCCUUGAGACAAAGUUUUUACUAAAAUAUUGUCUUUGUCUUUGCAAAAAUUUAUAUUAACAGGGCAGACUGGAUUACAUCCUGCAACCCAGCCUGUGAGCCUUUGGUUUAGAAGUCCCAGUAGGUAUUUAUGACCUAUUUUGCCAGGCUUUGAUUUGAUAAGGGCGAAUUGAGGAUUUAUUGUGGCUCACAGUUUCAAUUUGUGGGAGUCAGUCCUCCCACCUUGGGGGGGUGGGGUGCUAAGAUUGAAGUCAGGUCAUCAGCCUUGGUACCAAGCACCCUUAUCCAUUCAGCUGUCUCACCAGCCUGUCAAAAUGUACAUUCUAAUUAGAGGUUUUAGAGUAACUUCAUAGAAGCUGUAGCAUUUCCUUUUGACCUAUUACCCAACUGUCAAACCACUAGGACACUCAGUAAUUACUUCCUACCCCUGCUCUGACACCUCGUGCAACUGGACAGAAUCACGCAGGCAUUUAAAACCCUGUUCUCUGAAAAUCCUUUAACCAAAUGAUGUCUUUGGGUUGCACAUUGCUGGGAUAAAAAUUCAAGGAGAAACAGGAAGUCAUGUUAAAAUACCUGCCUGGCAGGUUUUCAGCAAGACUGAAAGGAGGUGAAAAGUUUCCAAACAUUAAUUAAAAUGUCCAUUUCUACUUCUUUUCUAAACUGUUGAGAAAAUAGGAUGCAUCAAGCUUAUUUCUGGUAUUGCAAAAUGUAAAAGUCUUUCAUUUAACAAUGCUAUUAGGUCAGAAGUUAUUGGCUCGUAAUGACUUAUGUGGCUUGAGAAUGGAAGCAACAUACUAUUUUUCAGUGGAAAGAAGAAAGUUCACGUAGAAGCUGAUUAAAAUCCCCACAACCGUCAUCAAUGAAAUCCUAAAGGGCAGAAGACAAGUGCUGCUGAUGUUGGAAGCCUUUCGUAUUGCAGACAAAGAUGCAAUUUUUAACAAAUAUCCACUCACAUAUAUUCACAAACGCUGAUCUUGUUGAUAGUUUUAUCUUUAAGCUUAUACUCCCUUUCCUUUUGUUCUUUGUGUUCUGACACUAUAAUAUUCUGAUAAUUGCUACCUAUAUUGUUAAGGUUGCUCCCCCUUCUGAGGAUAGGGGAAAUUAAAUGAUCCCCCAGAGCGAGACUUUGGAGACUAGAUAGAGAUCUGAUGUUUUAAACUCCAGUCACCUUCAUGCUCUUCAUUUAUCUGUGCUCAUAUGUGGUUUUCCUUCUUACUGAGUCAGAAACUGGCAGAGUGGGUCUUAAACGAAGGAUACUCUUUGACCUCUGAACUGACUGCUCAGAGGUUGACUUGCGAACGAAAGUAAUCCACUCUGCUCAGUUAAUUUGAAAAUUUCAGAAACAGAGGCAUUAUUUUAGUAAAACAGUGUCUCUCAUUUGUAUGUACUGGAUUUGCACUGAAAUUGUCUCCAAAUUAGAUCCAAGUGGGUGCCCUUGUUUUGCUUCGUUUGUGAACCCCGAAAGACCAUCAAGGAGCCAAUUCCGAUGCCAUCGCACUAGGGUUAUUCAUUUACAAGCCGGAGCUUGGGCUACGCCGCCAUCUCUGGCGCAGCAGAAUGGGAGGCUGAAGCCCCAAGCUCUCGGCCGGACAAUGUUUUAUAGAAAAUGGAUCUCUGGCUGGAACUUGCAAUGUAGACCAGGCUGGCUUCAAACUCAGAGAUCCACCUGCAUCUGCGUACCAAGUGCUGGGAUUAAAGGCGCGUCCCCUGAAAGAGUUCGGGCUUGUUCAACAGAGAUGCGAUUCUUCUUCUGAGUGUUUUCCAUCUCUGCUGGCUUGAGUCUGUGCAUGGCAAAGAAGGCAGCGCAGAGCUGAACACCGGCCUCCUGGACCCUUCAGUGCAACCCUCAUGAAAUGCUAAGAAUUCGGGUAGAGAAUGAAAUGCUAAUAUUCAGUUAGAGACCCCACUUAUUCUUGCAUGGGAGGUGGAUUUAAUAUAAAUCAUACUAUAUGCGUUAGAAGCAAGCAAUUUUUUUGGGGGGGGUUCUCUUUAUUGGACCAGGUUUGUGUUAAGUGAAUGUGUUAAAUGUUUAAAUACCCAAAAUUGUUUUCUGUCCUUUGUCCCUUUUGUAAAUCAUGCACUAAUCCUAAAGUAGCAUAGGAGAGGUAAAACUGUAUUCUUUUCUUCCUUUCUUUCUUUCUUUCUCUCUUCUUCUUUCU
rnacentral:sRNA from 1 species